UACGAAGGGGGCUAGCGUUGUUCGGAAUUACUGGGCGUAAAGCGCACGUAGGCGGAUUGUUAAGUCAGGGGUGAAAUCCCGGGGCUCAACCCCGGAACUGCCUUUGAUACUGGCAUUCUCGAGUCCGGAAGAGGUGAGUGGAAUUCCGAGUGUAGAGGUGAAAUUCGUAGAUAUUCGCAAGAACACCAGUGGCGAAGGCGGCUCACUGGCCCGAUACUGACGCUGAGGUGCGAAAGCGUGGGGAGCAAACAGGG
rnacentral:rRNA from 1 species